UACGUAGGGGGCAAGCGUUGUCCGGAAUCAUUGGGCGUAAAGCGCGCGUAGGCGGCCCGGUAAGUCCGCUCUGAAAGUCCAGGGCUCAACCCUGGAAAGCGGGUGGAUACUGGCGGACUAGAGUGCGGUAGAGGGUGGUGGAAUUCCCGGUGUAGCAGUGAAAUGCGUAGAGAUCGGGAGGAACAUCUGUGGCGAAGGCGGCCACCUGGACCAGCACUGACACUGAGGCACGAAAGCGUGGGGAGCAAACAGG
rnacentral:rRNA from 1 species